rnacentral:rRNA from 1 species
ACGCUCGACACCUACGGGAGCAGCAGUGGGGAAUAUUGGGCAAUGGGCGCAAGCCUGACCCAGCAACGCCGCGUGAAGGAAGAAGGCCCUCGGGUUGUAAACUUCUUUUGUCAGGGACGAAGCAAGUGACGGUACCUGACGAAUAAGCCACGGCUAACUACGUGCCAGCAGCCGCGGUAAUCUGAGCGGGCUGGCAAGGC